rnacentral:lncRNA from 1 species
UCUGCUGUGAAAGGACCUGGGAGACUUUGCAUUCUGCCACUUUCUGCUGUGAAAACACAUUGUCAAGGCAGCACUGGCUUGAAAACAAUCUAGCAAUAAAACCGUGCCCAGUUUUGAAGAUGGUGGCUUCUCUUUAGGUCAUGUGACGCCACAGCAUGCUCUGAAAAUCGACUGAGUACUUUAGGAGAUAAUCCAGGACAGACUUUGAAGCAGGAGCCAUCCCGUCACUAAUAGCUCCUUG